GCCUGCCCAGUGAUAAAUUAAACGGCCGCGUUAGCGUGAGCGUGCUAAGGUAGCGUAAUAAACAGCCUUCUAAUUAAAGGCCAGUGAAAGGCAACACGGAAAACUCCUAUAUCUUAUGUGAUCAAAAAACUUUACCUUUAAGUGAAAAGGCUUAAAUAACAAAAAAAGACGAAAAGACCCCGCGGAGCUUUACUUCAGAACCUAAAUAGUAAAAUACUGCUGUUUAAAAGUUUGGUUGGGGCAACCCUGGAAUAAUAAAAUCUUCCAGUUCUUUACAACAUCUAUACAAAAUACGCUACAGACCAAAAAGAAGCUACCCCGGGGAUAACAGCGUAAUCCAACUCAAAAGUACACAUCGAAAGUUGGGUUUGCGACCUCGAUGUUGGCUUAGGGUGAUCCAUAAGGUGCAGCCGCUUUAAUGGGAUAGUCUGUUCGACUAUUAUAACCCUACGUGAUCUG
rnacentral:rRNA from 1 species